GCGCCCGUAGCUCAGGGGAUAGAGCGAUGGCCUCCGGAGCCAUAGGCCGCAGGUUCGAAUCCUGCCGGGCGCA
rnacentral:tRNA from 2 species